CGAAAGCCUGACGGAGCAAUACCGCGUGAGGGAAGAAGGCUCUUGGGUUGUAAACCUCUUUUCUCAGGGAAUAAAAAAAUGAAGGUACCUGAGGAAUAAGCAUCGGCUAACUCCGUGCCAGCAGCCGCGGUAAUACGGAGGAUGCAAGCGUUAUCCGGAAUGAUUGGGCGUAAAGCGUCCGCAGGUGGUACAACAAGUCUAGUGUCAAAGACCGGGGCUCAACUCCGGGAUGGCGGUGGAAACUGUUGAACUAGAGGGUCGUAGGGGUAGAGGGAAUUCCCAGUGUAGCGGUGAAAUGCGUAGAGAUUGGGAAGAACAUCGGUGGCGAAGGCGCUCUACUGGACGGCAACUGACACUCAGGGACGAAAGCUAGGGGAGCG
rnacentral:rRNA from 1 species